ACGGGAGGCAGCAGUGGGGGAUAUUGCGCAAUGGGGGAAACCCUGAUGUAGCGACGCCGCGUGAAGGAAGAAGUAUCUCGGUAUGUAAACUUCUAUCAGCAGGGAAGAUAAUGACGGUACCUGACUAAGAAGCCCCGGCUAACUACGUGCCAGCAGCCGCGGUAAUACGUAGGGGGCAAGCGUUAUCCGGAUUUACUGGGUGUAAAGGGAGCGUAGACGGAAUGGCAAGUCUGGUGUGAAAGGCAUGGGCUCAACCCGUGGACUGCACUGGAAACUGUCGUUCUUGAGUGCCGGAGGGGUAAGCGGAAUUCCUAGUGUAGCGGUGAAAUGCGUAGAUAUUAGGAGGAACACCAGUGGCGAAGGCGGCUUACUGGACGGUAACUGACGUUGAGGCUCGAAAGCGUGGGGAGCAAACAGGAUUAGAUAC
rnacentral:rRNA from 1 species